rnacentral:lncRNA from 1 species
CUCCUCUGUCCAUGGGAUUUUCCAGGCAAGAGCCCUGGAGUGGGGUGCCAGUGCCUUCUCUGAGUUUCUCGGGUAUGCACCUUGGCGCUAUGGGGCCAAUAUCCUUUGUUAUCAAAUGCUGAGUUUCCUCAAGCUGCGCCUUCAUUGGUGGCUGCGGUCUGAUGACUGCUUGAUGAUGGACACUCCUUGUUUCCAUCCUGAGUUCCCUCUGGGCUCACUGGGGGAGGGGUUGCAAUUGCUGAUGCCUGUGACAUACUCGGUUUCUGAUAUGGCGGGCAGUGUUUCAUUUCUCACAACUUCACACGUGUCGCGCACAUUUGCUCUCCUACCCACCACAUCUGCAGCCCUUGACCCUGCAGUUGAAGACCACUGCCCCAGCCUCAACCUCAUCUCAGCCAAAGCUUCAGCUCCCUCUCUCCAGCCUGCCCCCAUGUUCAAGAAGGCAAAGACCCAAACACAUGUUCUCCAAACCACCACAGUCCUGCCAGCCUGUGAGAUGAUCUCGUCUAGGACACAAGUCUGGAUGAGGAACAGAGACAAGCAGAAAUUCCUCCAAUUCCAUUUUAUCACCGGGGUGGUGGCAUCUGGGAUCUUGAGUGCUAGAUGGCUGUGGAUGGAGUUGAGAGUCCAGGGGUCCAGAGACCAGCAACCAGCCAGGGCAGCAUCAGACCACGCCCUUGGGAUGACUUGUCUGUGCUUUGGCCCAUCAGCAUUCCCUUCAGUCCAUUCUGAGAGCUACCUACCCAGUAUUCUUACAGUAUACUCCUUUUUUUAUAAGUAG